UACGUAGGUGGCAAGCGUUGUCCGGAUUUACUGGGCGUAAAGAGCGCGCAGGCGGUCGUACAAGUCGCGUGUGAAAGCCCCCGGCUCAACUGGGGAGGGUCACGCGAUACUGCUCGACUCGAAGGCAGGAGAGGGAAGUGGAAUUCCCGGUGUAGUGGUGAAAUGCGUAGAUAUCGGGAGGAACACCAGUGGCGAAGGCGACUUCCUGGCCUGUUCUUGACGCUGAGGCGCGAAAGCUAGGGUAGCAAACGGG
rnacentral:rRNA from 1 species